rnacentral:rRNA from 1 species
UGGGGAAUUUUGGACAAUGGGGGAAACCCUGAUCCAGCCAUCCGCGUGUGCGAUGAAGGCCUUCGGGUUGUAAAGCACUUUUGGCAGGAAAGAAACGUCAUGGGUUAAUACCCCGUGAAACUGACGGUACCUGCAGAAUAAGCACCGGCUAACUACGUGCCAGCAGCCGCGGUAAUACGUAGGGUGCAAGCGUUAAUCGGAAUUACUGGGCGUAAAGCGUGCGCAGGCGGUUCGGAAAGAAAGAUGUGAAAUCCCAGAGCUCAACUUUGGAACUGCAUUUUUAACUACCGGGCUAGAGUGUGUCAGAGGGAGGUGGAAUUCCGCGUGUAGCAGUGAAAUGCGUAGAUAUGCGGAGGAACACCGAUGGCGAAGGCAGCCUCCUGGGAUAACACUGACGCUCAUGCACGAAAGCGUGGGGAGCAAACAGG